AUAGCUGAAUGCCUGGCAGAUCCCCCCGUGUCACUGGUCCUCGGUGCGUGACCGUUGUGUGCUGGGGGUGCACGGGUCGUGGAGGAACUGUUGUUUUAACAGCGUGAAAUGGACUGUGAAUAAGGCUCCUUUUUCCUUUUGGCGCAUCAUGAUCACAAAUACUUAGCAAGAAUUACCAAACAGCAUAAAUUCCUAACCCCCGAAGAAAGCUCUGUGCCUGGAAUAAGGAUCUUAUGCAAAAAAAUUGCUUCAGUGGGUUGAAAAUGAGCUACCAAGUGGGGUGCAGGAUGGCAGCCCCAGCAUCAGGACUAACAAGACUUACUACUAUAACUAGAAGAACAGAGAAGCCAUAAAACAAGACGAUGUUGUGAGAUCAAGAGGAGCAAAUGUGCCAAAUCAGCAUUGAGUUGUUUAAUUGCUGGAUUUAGAGACUUCUUUUCCAUGAAAGACAUCCUUUUUUCUUCUUGCCAAGGGCAGCCCUUCUUCAGAGACUCUCUCAAGAAAAACUUCGUGACUAGCAAAAAUUCUUCUC